CGCCAACUCAUAUUAAACUGUUCUACUAAAAUACUUUAAUAAGGAUAAACAUGGUGGCUAUCUCUGAAGAAUUUGUGAAGAUUUUGGUGUCUGUCUUUGUGAUGUUGAUUGUUAUUUGUUCUGCAAGGUAUGACGAGUACGAAGGAUAUGAACGAUACGACAAAUGUAAGUCUUCAGUAUGUAAUAAUGGCUAAACUUUAUAGAUUAUAUUUCAUAUGCGAUCCAAAAAUGAUACAAAAAAUUACCGACUGUCACCUAUAAAUGUUUAAUAAUAAAAUCGAUACGUAAUGUCUCUUCAGUGAUGACCGAGGGCAAACUGUUUGAAAAUCCGAAACCAUAUUCAAACGAAAGCAGAACAACUAAAAGGAUCUAAGUAUAAACAAAACUAGACAGUUAUUCAGAGCUGUCCUUUUUUGUCUAAUAUUCCAAAUUAAAUUGUUUAACAUUAUGGUCAACAAUUGAAUUGAAUGUCCAACUCCAUCAAAAGAAUUCAUAAAAAAUAUGCGUAAUUAGUAAGAGAUCAUGUCAAAAUUUGGUAACGCUAAUUUUUUUCGGUUAUUUAAACAGGCGUGUGAACAUGUGUACUUCUUUUUCACAAACUAGUACACUUUCCUUACGAAACAGCAUGUUAGAAUUGUGGAACAAGGCAAACAUUAAAUUGUGAUUAAAAUUAUGCUGAAAUUAUAAUAUCCCUUUAUUUUUUUACACGAGAAAACUAGAGGAUAAGGUUAAAGCCCUUCAAUAUUUAUUUCUGUAAAAAAAUAUUCAAGUUUUGAUAUUCGAAUUUAUCAAAUUGGUAAUUGUUUCUUAACAGCAAGAACCUUAAAAAAUCAAAAUGUGAAUAUACGUCCAAAACUUUUUUUAGGUUAAAACCAAAUAUUGGCAAUUCAAGUUUCAAAACUAAUAUUCACCACAUACCAGAACGGCAGAUGCCGUAGGAUAUGUGUGCGUCUCUGAUUGCCACUACAAAACAAUAUGUUGUGCAAUCUUGUACAGCAGCUUUUGAUUUGUAUCAUGUUUUUCAAUUAUUUUUACCAAUCUCUGGUACAAAUUGUGUCUAUAGAGUUCCAAGUUUUAUACUGAACCACGAAACUAGGAAUAUCAUUUCCAAUAGAGACCAUUAUGUGAUAAUACAUUAUCGAACUAGAAAAUAACAUUUUAUGACAGUUGAUCGUUUAGGCUUGAUAACUGUAUUACUAUGAAUCUGAUCGCUUUUAUCCUAUACAUGUCUUAAUAAUUGAAACAUGUAGAACUAUGACAUGUUAUUCAUUUUCUUUUUCAGAGCCUUGAGUUGAAUCCACAUAAAAGACGAUUUCUGAAGAAGGAUCGGUGAUCGAACAAAAUCUGUAUAUCAUUAGGAAAUCCAUCGAUAGUUUAAUCAAACAUAUCAAAUAAAUUUUAUAGAAGAAAGAGUUGUCUUAAUAUAUAAGCAUAGGAGUACACACCAUUCCAAGAAAGCCAUGCUAUCAAUUUCAAAGUAUCCGAAACAUUAAAUAUUUGUAUGAUUAUUUCUCUAUACAGCAUAUAUUGGUAGCAAUGAGUUCACUUCUCGUAAUCCGUGCCUAAUGAAGUAAGCUUAAAUCGGGG
rnacentral:lncRNA from 1 species